rnacentral:lncRNA from 1 species
ACAGAGGCGCUGAGGACCGUGCUUUAGGGAUGGCUCUCCCGAGGGAAGCCCCAGUGUCUGGAUUGCUUCUCCCGAGGACGCGCACCAUUGCUUGCCAGAGGACGUUCAGCAGAGGCUGUUCGAAGAGCAGCUUGUGAUUAGCGCCUGCGCUGAUUUCUAGCCUAGUGCCUGGCUCUUACUACCAUAUUUCCCCCACGGUCUCAUAAUUACUUCCUCUAGUCUUCCAGAUCCCUUUUCCCCCCUACAUUAUUACUAUUAUUUUCAUUUUCAUUUUUCCUUUUGGGUAUCUCACCUUUUGUUGUCUUUUCUUUUUUCCUCGCACUGUUGGAAUAACAGGUACACAUACAGUAUUUACUUUCCUACCUGUACCGUUAGAACAAGUACACAUACAGUAUCCUUUACUUUCCUAUAGACCUCAGCAAGUCUUUUCUUACUAUCGCUUGUGCAUCCUGAAGAGCAGAGUGUUGGAUCCGAGACCUGUACGUGUGAUUAAGUUAUUGGAUUGUGUGUCCUACUGCCUUAGGUGUGCCGAGCAGAGGACAUCAUGGCUUUGUUUGAAACCUACCUUGGGAACCUUGAUAAUAAGUUUUGCUUCUGUUGAUGAUCCACAUCUUGACAAACAAGCGGUUUCAUCAUAGUUUCCUAUAGUAUUCACUCCAUUCAGUUCAAUCCAGUAACAGUUCUUUGAAUGUCAGUCUUGGAGAGCUGGUGACAGGCUAAGAGAACAGAGAUCCAAUUCCUGUCCUCCAAAGAUAACAUAUUGAGGAGGGACCAUGGUGAGCACUAGGGUAGUGGUACAAAGUGUUCUGGGUGAAUGGGGGAGGAAAGGAUUAAUGAAAGGGUUUAUUUAUUUUUAUUUUAUUGGAGUAUAGUUGAUUUAUAAAAUUGUGUUAAUUUCAGGUGUAUAGCAAAGUAAAUCAUAUCCAUUCCUUUUCAGACUCUUUUCCCAUAUAGGUUAUUAUCCACUAUUGAGUAAAUUUCUCUGUGCUAUACAGUAGAUCCUUGUUACCCAUCUAUUUUAUGUAUAAUAGUGUGCAGGUACCACUUGAAAGCCUUGAGUUUUAAACUGGGCUUUGAUAUUUGAGUCAGAUUUUACCCAUUUUCUUUAUUUUUCCCGCUGAUAAUUCUUAAUAGAUCUUUCAAAAAUACUUUCACCUCAAACUACUCAGAGAUUUUUCUUCUUUACAAUUGUCAGUCAUCUCUGAUCUCAAGACUUCUGGGCAAUGUUACUUUUAUAUUUUACAUUUACAGAGAUGACUUUUAUCCCUCUUCACAAAGGUGAGCUAAUGUAUUCCUGAUAUCAUACAACAAGUAUUAUAGACUAUUAUAGGACUAACAAGAGUAAAAUUAUAUAAUUAUUACUUUCAAAAAGCAUUUUCAGAGUCACAUAAGAGCUCAAUACUUAUUUAGUCAACAAAUAUUUAUGGAGAACACUGGCAUUGAAGUAAAGUAUUGUUGUCUUGGAACAUACAUUCUAGUGGGACAAGACAUUAUAGAAUAUGUACAAAAAUAUAAGGUGAUACUGUACAGGAAUACCUCAGAGAUACUGUGGGUUUGGUUCCAGACCAUUGCAAUUAAUGGAAUAUCACAAUGAAGGACGUCAGGAAUUUUUUGGCUUCCCAGUGCACAUAAAUGUUAUGUUAGUCUACAAGUGCCCUGCUGGCCUUAUAGUUAAAGAUCUGGCAUUGUCUGCUUAUGGUUUAAAAUAGGAUUGUAAGAAAAGGCCUUCAGUGAAGAUGACAUUUAAGUAGACUUGAAGCAGGUGAGGGAGUGAGCCAUGUGAUAUUUGGAGUAUGAGUUUUCCAGGCACAGAGAAUAAGAAAUUCAGAGGUCCUGCAUUUUGGUGUGUUCAAGACUCAGCAAAGAAGCCAGUCUUGUGGAGUGGAGUAGAUAAAAGGGAUAAGUAGGAUAAGUAGUCUUAAAUAGAGGUUGGAAAGUACUAAAUGGUCUAGCAAGCUAUUUUACCUGAAGUAAUAUGGGAAGCCUUUGAGUGUUUUGAUCAGAACUGUCUAACAGAACUGUUUAAGUCCAUCACUCUUGCUACUGUGUUGAGAAUAGAUUGAAGGAAGGCAAGGACAGAAGUCACUGCCGGUUGAGCAAUUUUAAUAAUUUAUGUGACAGAGAUGGUGGCUUAGAUGAGGAUGGUAAUAAUAGAAGUGUUGAAAAGUUCAGAUUCUGGAUGUACUUUGAUAGUAUAUUCCGCAGGAUUUGCUGACAUAUGGAGUGUGAGAGCAAAAGAAAAUAGGGAGAACUUAAUUGCCUAAACAACUGAAAAGAUAGAACUUACACUUAACUGAGUUGGGGAAGCUAGCAGGAGAAAGACAUGGCAAGGAUUAAGAAUUUGGAUUUGGAUAUGUUAAGGAUUAGAUGCAUUUUAAAUAUCCAAGUGGAGAUGUUGAGCAGGCUGUCUGAAGGCCAGGCUAAUGAUAGGAAUGAAGGAAUCUUUUUUUUUAGGGCUGCACCCAAGGCAUAUAGAGGUUCCCAGACUAGGGAUCAAAUCAGAGCUGUAGCUACAGGCCUACACCACAGCCACAACAACUUGGGAUCUGAGCCAUGUUUUCGACCUACACCACAGCUCAAGGCAACGCUGGAUCCUUAAUUCACUUAAUGAGGCCAGGGAUUAAACCUGCAUCCUCAUGGAUACUACUCAGAUUCGUUUCCCCUGAGCCAUUAUGGGAACUCCUGCAUUAAGGAGUCUUUAGUAUGCAACUGUUUUUAAAAGCAAAGAGAUUAGAUAAAUUUACAAAACAUAUGUGGGGUUAGAAAACUUAGACCAGGGACUGAAACUUGGGGGGUUCCAAUGUUGAGAUGAGAAGCUACCUGCAAAAGAUCCUGAAAAAGAGCUGUAAGAGGAAGGACAGGAGAGUGUGGAAUCAUGGAAGACAAAUGAAGGAAGCACAUGAAGAAGAAGGAGGAUUGUCAAGAUGAGGUUUGAGAAUUGAGCAAAGGAAAUCAUUGAUAACCCUGAUGAGUUUCUAUGGAGUGGAGGUGAUGAAGGCUUGUUUGGAAUGUUUGACAAAGUAGUAGUAGAAGAGAAGUUAAAGAGGAUGAUGAUAUAUAUCCCUUGAUUAUGAAGAAAUUGGAUCAUUAGUUGGAGGGCUAUGUGAUAUAAAGUUUUAAAGAUGUACAAAACAGUGGUUUCUUGUUUUGCUUGUGAAGAGGAGCCAAUAGCAAUGGAAAAUUGAUGAUGCAGGAGAAGGAGGAGAGCAGUAUUUAUGUGCAUGUUGGAGAGAAAGGAGAAGUUAUAUGUUUUUAGGAUUAUGGGCUAUUUGUCUACAGUAAUAAGAGAAAAAGAAAACUCUGUGGACACAGAUGCAGGUGGGGCUGUGGAUGUUCUUUUUGGAUUCCUUCUCUUUUCUCAUAAGUAGAAGACAGUGCCUAAUAAAUUUGUGGGAAAUUUUAUCUUUUUUUCCAUUUGUUCAGAGAUAUUGAUAAGAAAAUACUUUGAGAUUCUGAGAAUUUCCUGAAACAAAGAACUCUGAAUUUUGUUGAGGAAAGAAAAGAGGGAGUUUCUACUUUGAGUUCUGCUUGGAAGAAGUAGAACUCAAAGUAGAAAAGAAUGUUGAGAUUAUAAAAUAGAAGCUAGCUUGAGGUGAAGGAGAAAAUAAGCAGGAUCAUAUCAUAAAAUCUGAGAAAGACUGUAAUGAGAAUAAAAAUACUGAAUCUUAUCUCCAGUGCUCUGGCUAACUAUAGUAAUCGUCUAAGAAUGUUACCAUCAUGUCAGAGAUGGCUUGCUUUUAGGUACCAAGUGUGGUCUAGUAGAGAGCAGUGUUGUGGAAUCGUGAGCCUACUUAUGGAAAGGUAAAAAGAGAUGGAAAGAUAUGUUAGCUAGGAAUAGAUUUGAUAUCUUUUUUUUUUUUUUUUUGCUUUUUAGGGCCACACUUGUGGCAGAUGGAAGUUCCCAGGCUAGGAGUCCAAUUGGAGCUGUAUCCGCUGGCCUACACCACAGCCAUAGCAGCUUGGGAUCUGGUUCAUGUCUGAGACCUGCACCACAGCUCACAGCAAUGCUGGAUCCUUAACCCACUGAGUGAGGCCAGGAAUUGAACUUACGUCCUCAUGGAUACUAGUUGGGUUCGUUACCACUGAGCCACAACAGGAACUCCCUAGGAAUAGAUUUAAGUUGGGUUUAGAAAAUAAUCUAAUGAAUACGGGAUUGGCAACUAAUUGGGUGUAAGGAAAGAGCAUUUGACAUUAGUCAUACUGAGCCACUGGACAGGAUGGAGAGAAUUUUGCAGUUGGAAAUGGUACCUUGUUUGGGAUGGCUUUCCUUCAAUUAUUUAGGGACCAUUUAUUUUUAAAUCUUAAUUUUAAGAUAGUUCGUUGUGUGAGGUCUUAGCAAGAGAUGGUGAUACCAAGAUGCAAAUGAUAGGAUCCUUGCCUUCAAAUUACUGUUUCUAGUAGAGAAUAAAAGAACAUAUGCAAGUAUCCUAAGACAAUUGAUAAAUGCCAGAUAAAAAGUAUUAAGUGCUUAGAGAGGGUUUUGUGUUUGUGUGUGUGUGUGUAACCUUACUCACACUGUGGAAAUUAUCAGAUACUCAAAAGUAGAGAGACUAUGGUAGUGAACCCCAAUGUACUCAUCACUCUAAAAUCUAUCAGUUUUCUUCCAAUCUCAUAUAUUGUGUCAGGGUAAAGGAGUGAUUGCUUUUGCUCGAAAAUCAGGAUAAGGAGAUUUCAUGGAGCCUGUUCUAUGAGGAGAGGUAGACAGAACAUUGAACUGAACUAGAGUUCUUGUUUCUAGUUCUGUACCUGCCAAUGGCGUAUUUGCUAACUUCCUGUUACUCAGUUGAUCUCUCUGUUCUUCACUUUCUCAGUGGAGUGUAGCUGUUAUUCUCUAUCAGGAAGCUGCAAACAAUGGCCUUCAAGCCAAAUCCAGCCUACUACUUGCCAUCAGUUGAUUGUCUAUCUGUAUUUGUCAUAGAUUAUAGAGUUUUGUGUAGAAGCAGAGAUGGCCCAUAAUAUUUACUCUCUGGCACUUUAUGAAGUGCUUGCCAAGUUCCUGUUCUACAGGACAUCUGAUAUUCCUUUAACUCCCAUGUGUUAAUCUAUUAGAUAACUAAAAAAAUUGGUUAUAAUAGAUAAUAUUUUUUUGAGCAUUUACUAAGAGCCAGCACUGUUGUUUUGGUUUGUAUGGGUUAUCAUUUAAUCUUCAUCCAAACACUAUCACCUAGGUUGAUUAUUUCUACAAAUGAAACUAAGACAUAAAGUGGGAAAGUUAACUUGCCCAAGGUUACAUAGUACUAGUGGAGCCAGGAAGUUCUGUUACAGCAACCAUAUCCUUAAUUAUAACGCUUCCUUCUCUUUGGAAACAUAGACAAAAUCAUAUAUGAAAAAAAUUUUCAUCAGAGAAUGAAAACUCAUAAAUCAAUGAUUUUUACUUAAGUAAAGUACUAUAUUGUGAUUAUAGGUGUAAAAGCUUUCGGAUGCUGGCUAAUCGUGAAUAUACAUUACAGGUGAAUGGUGUAUAAAAUCCAAAUACACCUGAAUAGAAAAUUCUAGUACCUCAUCAUUUUCUCAUGAAGUCUUAGCAGAUAUUUGAAAGCAGAGCACUUUACUUAAAAAGCAGGUAAAGAGUUGAGGCUCAACAGGAAUGAAUCUGACUUGUAUCCAUGAGGAUGUAGGUUUGAUCCCUGGCCUUGCUCAGAGGGUUAAGGAUCUGGUGUUGGUGAGCUGUGGUGUAGGUUGUAGAUUCUGCUCAGAUCUGAUGUGGCUGUGGCGUAGGCCAGCGGCUGCAGCUCUGAUUUGACACCUAGCCUGGGAACCUCUGUAUGCUGCAGG